rnacentral:misc_RNA from 1 species
GAGACUUCUGCCUUUACAUUUGUAUUGUUGUAGAAUUCUACUAGUGUCUUGGAUUAUAAUCUUCAACUGGGAAGCAGUUUCUAGCUAAUGUUGUACACCCGACCUUGAGGUGUGAUGGUCUAUGCCUUUACGUAUGGGUUCCAUUCAAGUGGAUGGUUUCCUAAUGUAUUGUAAUUGAUGUGUGUUGAUAACUUUAUAUUAUUUGGUUCAAAAAAUUUUGGCACCCUUCCUUUAAGUAGCACAACAUAACUGUAUCACUAUCAUGUUAAAGUCUAUCAAAU